rnacentral:rRNA from 1 species
GAUGAACGCUGGCGGCGUGCCUAAUACAUGCAAGUCGAGCGAACAGACGAGGAGCUUGCUCCUCUGACGUUAGCGGCGGACGGGUGAGUAACACGUGGAUAACCUACCUAUAAGACUGGGAUAACUUCGGGAAACCGGAGCUAAUACCGGAUAAUAUAUUGAACCGCAUGGUUCAAUAGUGAAAGACGGUUUUGCUGUCACUUAUAGAUGGAUCCGCGCCGCAUUAGCUAGUUGGUAAGGUAACGGCUUACCAAGGCGACGAUGCGUAGCCGACCUGAGAGGGUGAACGGCCACACUGGAACUGAGACACGGUCCAGACUCAUACGGGAGGCAGCAGUAGGGAAUCUUCCGCAAUGGGCGAAAGCCUGACGGAGCAACGCAGCGUGAGUGAUGAAGGUCUUCGGAUCGGAAAACUCUGUUAUUAGGGAAGAACAAAUGUGUAAGUACCUAUGCACGUCUUGACGGUACCUAAUCAGAAAGCCACGGCUAACUACGUG